UACGGAGGGGGCUAGCGUUGUUCGGAAUUACUGGGCGUAAAGGGCGCGCAGGCGGCUGCUCAAGUCAGGCGUGAAAGGCCUGGGCUCAACCCGGGAAUUGCGCUUGAGACUGGGCUGGCUUGAGUGCGGGAGAGGAUGGUGGAAUUCUCGGUGUAGCGGUGAAAUGCGUAGAUAUCGAGAGGAACACCUGCGGCGAAGGCGGGUAGCUGGGCCGGACACUGACGCUGAUGCGCGAAAGCCAGGGGAGCGAACGGGAUUAGAGUACC
rnacentral:rRNA from 1 species